CCCUUAGACGUUCUGGGCCGCACGCGCGCUACACUGACGAAGGCAACGAGCUUUCCUUUACCGAAAGGUACGGGUAAUCUUUUGAAACUUCGUCGUGCUGGGGAUAGAUCCUUGCAAUUUUUGAUCUUAAACGAGGAAUGCCUAGUAAGCGCAAGUCAUCAACUUGCGUUGAUUACGUCCCCGCCCUUUGUACACACCGCCCGUCGCUACUACCGAUUGAAUGGUUUAGUGAGGCCUUCGGAUCCGCGACUCGUUUUGUGGAGAAGUUGGACAAACUCAGUCAUUUAGAGGAAGUAAAAGUCGUAACA
rnacentral:rRNA from 1 species